UACAGAGGGGGCAAGCGUUGUUCGGAAUUACUGGGCGUAAAGGGCGCGUAGGCGGCCCGCUAAGUCGAACGUGAAAUCCCUGGGCUCAACCCAGGAACUGCGUCCGAUACUGGUGGGCUUGAAUCCGGGAGAGGGAUGUGGAAUUCCAGGUGUAGCGGUGAAAUGCGUAGAUAUCUGGAGGAACACCGGUGGCGAAGGCGACAUCCUGGACCGGUAUUGACGCUGAGGCGCGAAAGCCGGGGGAGCAAACGGG
rnacentral:rRNA from 1 species